ACGGAAGGCAGCAGUGGGGAAUAUUGGGCAAUGGGCGAAAGCCUGACCCAGCAACGCCGCGUGAAGGAAGAAGGUCCUCGGAUUGUAAACUUCUUUUAUCAGGGACGAAGAAAGUGACGGUACCUGAUGAAUAAGCCACGGCUAACUACGUGCCAGCAGCCGCGGUAAUACGUAGGUGGCGAGCGUUAUCCGGAUUUACUGGGUGUAAAGGGCGCGUAGGCGGGGAUGCAAGUCAGAUGUGAAAUCCCCGGGCUUAACCCGGGAACUGCAUUUGAAACUGUAGUUCUUGAGUAUCGGAGAGGCAAGCGGAAUUCCUAGUGUAGCGGUGAAAUGCGUAGAUAUUAGGAGGAACACCAGUGGCGAAGGCGGCUUGCUGGACGACAACUGACGCUGAGGCGCGAAAGCGUGGGGAGCAAACAGGAUUAGAUACCCUGGUA
rnacentral:rRNA from 1 species